UACCAGCACCCCGAGUGGUCGGGACGAUUAUUGGGCCUAAAGCAUCCGUAGCCGGUCCUACAAGUCUUCCGUUAAAUCCACCUGCUCAACAGAUGGGCUGCGGAGGAUACUAUAAGACUAGGAGGCAGGAGAGGCAAGCGGUACUCAGUGGGUAGGGGUAAAAUCCGUUGAUCCAUUGAAGACCACCAGUGGCGAAGGCGGCUUGCCAGAAUGCGCUCGACGGUGAGGGAUGAAAGCUGGGGGAGCAAACCGG
rnacentral:rRNA from 1 species